GACGAACGCUGGCGGCGUGCCUAAUACAUGCAAGUUGAGCGCUGAAGGUUGGUCCUUGUACCAACUGGAUGAGCAGCGAACGGGUGAGUAACGCGUGGGGAAUCUGCCUUUGAGCGGGGGACAACAUUUGGAAACGAAUGCUAAUACCGCAUAAAAACUUUAAACACAAGUUUUAAGUUUGAAAGAUGCAAUUGCAUCACUCAAAGAUGAUCCCGCGUUGUAUUAGCUAGUUGGUGAGGUAAAGGCUCACCAAGGCGAUGAUACAUAGCCGACCUGAGAGGGUGAUCGGCCACAUUGGGACUGAGACACGGCCCAAACUCCCACGGGAGGCAGCAGUAGGGAAUCUUCGGCAAUGGACGAAAGUCUGACCGAGCAACGCCGCGUGAGUGAAGAAGGUUUUCGGAUCGUAAAACUCUGUUGGUAGAGAAGAACGUUGGUGAGAGUGGAAAGCUCAUCAAGUGACGGUAACUACCCAGAAAGGUACGGCUAACUACGUG
rnacentral:rRNA from 1 species